CUUCAUCUUAUCCUAUAUAAUUUUUAUUCUACUUUUUUCACUUUAACUUACAUCAUAAAGUUCACUAUUUUUAUGAUAUGUCUGCCAUAGUAAAAUUGUUGAGAGACCCAUCAUAUUCCAUUGUAUGGUAUUAUUGGCACAAAUCUCAUUUUUCUUCCCUUUUUUGUUCUUUUUCUACAUUAUCAGUAGGAUAAUAUAAAAGACACUGAUUAUAAUAAUUUUAGGCCAUUGAUUAAUAAGACAAAAUCCAAUUCGUCGGCCUCAAAGAAACUUUCAUCAGAACUUGUGUAAGCCCCAAUGCUAGAGCCUUCUAUAGUUUCUUUCCUGCUCUUUGCCUUUCUGUUACCAGAGAAACUCAUGCAAUUAAAGGGAGGAGAGGACCUGGAAACCAUCUUGUUCUAGAACCUUAGCUGGUUCUUUGUGAUUCCAAGAUCUACAGUGCCACCAGUUAUGUUCAGCUUAAUGGAUUGAACAUCUCAGAUUAGGUGGUGCCCAGUGCUUCUGGCCCAAAGACCUCACUUUGAAGAAAAGGUCUCUGGUACAGUGAUUCUCAACCUUGGCUGCAUGUGAGAACUACCUGCAGGAGUUUCUGAAAGUCAGGAAGGAGAAAGGAAGAAAACAGGUUCCUGCCAAGUCCAAUCCACAUAUUCAACAAAUCUUUGAAGACACAAUGGCAAAAUGGAAGCUGUCAAAACAAAAGAGUUUCCAUCACCUGUGGAGCAAAAUCAAAUACUUGGAGGCAAAAGAAACUUGCAAGAAGAUAGAUUAUAUCCCAUUUGGAUUGAAAUGAGCACCUCCCCACUGAAUGCUUCUAGACAAGCGUGAAAUGUGGGCAUAACAGGUAGAUUGCAUUUAUAAUAUGAAAUUAAAAGUAAUUUGUGAUUGCAAACACAAAACAAAACAAAGAGUUUAACUCUUGUGACAGCUUGGAGCAGGGUGAGGGGUGUCAUGAUGAUAGGUCUUCAGUACUUGAACUUCACGUAAAAGAAGACUAGACUCAUUUUGGCCCUUUUAUGUCAGAAGGAUGGAG
rnacentral:lncRNA from 12 species